rnacentral:ncRNA from 1 species
UCAGCGUCUGUGAAGGAAAAAAAUUGCACUCUGGUUUUCAGAGAGCCGGUGGUUGGUGCAAACCGGUAAACCGAUUGUAUAUUUUGAGCGUUCCUGAGUCACUGUAUUGAAAAUGGAGUAGGUACAGUCGGGUGAUUCCGUUAUGAAUCCGGUCAAUUGAUUUGACCAUAAGGCUGCUUCUUGUGAGAGAACAGCGAAUUAGGGUGGUACCACGACAGCUCUCGUCCCUUGA